rnacentral:rRNA from 1 species
UACCAGCACCCCGAGUGGUCGGGACGAUUAUUGGGCCUAAAGCAUCCGUAGCCGGUCCUGCAAGUCUUCCGUUAAAUCCAGCUGCUCAACAGAUGGGCUGCGGGGGAUACUACAUGGCUAGGAGGCGGGAGAGGCAAGCGGUACUUUAUGGGUAGGGGUAAAAUCCGUUGAUCCAUAGAAGACCACCAGUGGCGAAGGCGGCUUGCCAGAACGCGCUCGACGGUGAGGGAUGAAAGCUGGGGGAGCAAAGCCGG